rnacentral:rRNA from 1 species
GACGAACGCUGGCGGCGUGCUUAACACAUGCAAGUCGAACGGAAAGGCCCUGCUUUUGUGGGGUUCUCGAGUGGCGAACGGGUGCGUAACACGUGAGUAACCUGCCCUUGACUUUGGGAUAACUUCAGGAAACUGGGGCUAAUACCGGAUAGGAGCUCCUGCUGCAUGGUGGGGGUUGGAAAGUUUCGGCGGUUGGGGAUGGACUCGCGGCUUAUGAGCUUGUUGGUGGGGUAGUUGCUUACCAAGGCUUUGACGGGUAGCCGGCCUGUGAGGGUGAACGGGCACAUUGGGCCUGAGGUAGGGACCAGAGGGGUACGGGAGGCAGUAGGCGGGAAUAUGACACAACGGGAGGAAGUGUGAGGCAGCGACGUCGCGGGCGGGAUGCCGGCUUGCUGGGUGAAAACCGCUUUCGCCUGUGACGAAGCGGGAGUGACGGUAAUGGGUAAAGAAGCACCGGCUAACUACGUG